rnacentral:rRNA from 1 species
AGCGAACGCUGGCGGCAUGCCUAACACAUGCAAGUCGAACGAGACCUUCGGGUCUAGUGGCGCACGGGUGCGUAACGCGUGGGAACCUGCCCUUAGGUUCGGAAUAACUCCCCGAAAGGGGUGCUAAUACCGGAUAACGUCUUCGGACCAAAGAUUUAUCGCCUUUGGAUGGGCCCGCGUUGGAUUAGCUAGUUGGUAGGGUAAAAGCCUACCAAGGCGACGAUCCAUAGCUGGUCUGAGAGGAUGAUCAGCCACACUGGGACUGAGACACGGCCCAGACUCCUACGGGAGGCAGCAGUGGGGAAUAUUGGACAAUGGGCGAAAGCCUGAUCCAGCAAUGCCGCGUGAGUGAUGAAGGCCUUAGGGUUGUAAAGCUCUUUUACCCGGGAUGAUAAUGACAGUACCGGGAGAAUAAGCUCCGGCUAACUCCGUG